UGGGGAAUAUUGGACAAUGGGCGCAAGCCUGAUCCAGCAAUACCGCGUGGGUGAAGAAGGUCAUCGGAUCGUAAAGCCCUUUCGGCGGGGACGAUGAUGACGGUACCCGCAGAAGAAGCCCCGGCUAACUUCGUGCCAGCAGCCGCGGUAAUACGAAGGGGGCUAGCGUUGCUCGGAAUUACUGGGCAUAAAGGGCGCGUAGGCGGCGCAUUCAGUCAGGCGUGAAAUUCCUGGGCUCAACCUGGGGGCUGCGCUUGAUACGUUUGUGCUAGAGGUCAGAAGAGGGUCGUGGAAUUCCCAGUGUAGAGGUGAAAUUCGUAGAUAUUGGGAAGAACACCGGUGGCGAAGGCGGCGACCUGGUCUGAUACUGACGCUGAGGCGCGACAGCGUGGGGAGCAAACAGGAUUAGAUACCCUGGUAGUCCACGCCGUAAACGAUGUGCGCUGGAUGUUGGGGCUCUUAGAGCCUCAGUGUCGUAGCCAACGCGGUAA
rnacentral:rRNA from 1 species